AUCCUUUUGCAGUUCAUAAGCCUGAUGAUUGGGCUUUCCCACUCAAGUAUGAGAUGUGCCUCCCUCAAAUCUUGUUAUAGUGUCAAUACAUACCUGCCUUUCA
ensembl:snoRNA